AUGAAUUCCAACCAGGAGGAAACUGUUUUUCAUCUGUUUUGGGGAUGUCCCUUUGCUGUAAGAUGUUGGAAUUACGUCUGCCCAAAUAGAGAAAACCCACUUUCCAUCUGGGAAGCAUUGGAGGACAUGAAAGAUAAAAUCAAAGUACCUUUCUUCAUGGAAAUUAUGAUACUUGGUGCUUGGGCUAUCUGGAUUUCUAGGAACAAUCUAAUAUUCAAUCAGAUCCAACCAUGAUUUCAGAGAUGGAGAACAAUUUACCUGACUGAACUUCAAUGGCUUAGGCACAUAAUCAAGAAGAAGUAUGCUUCUGCUUUUAAUGCCUGGUUGGACAACUUGUUGUAA
rnacentral:rRNA from 1 species